CUCCAAGGCCAAGCAUCAUGAAGUCUGCAGUAUUUCCUCCAGGAACUGUACCACCCAACAGAUUUCUGGGGAAGACUAUUUUCACUGGCAACUCAAGCUUCUUUGUAAUCAAUUGCAACCCAGGAAGACUCAAACUAUUGGCCACUGUAUGAACAGGAUUUGAUGCUUGUUGUGUUGCCACUGAUACCAUGACAUUGGCACCAAAAAA
rnacentral:misc_RNA from 1 species